GAGAGAUAAUUUCAUUGGCCGUGUAGUACAGUAUUUUUUUCUUUUCCAAAUCAGCAAAACAUAUAAAAAAUGAAGCGCUAUGAGGGUGAAAAUGUCCAGAAAUCAGCCCGUAAAGCAGCCAACAACAACAGUGACAAACGAAGGCAGGCAUACUUCCCCGAUAAGAUGCAAGAUUAAAUCCAAACAGGCCAUAGACAAAGAUAGAAAUAAUAAGAUCAUGGCAGUGAACAUAUAGUCAUAAACAGUGAUAACAGUAGCAUUAACCAACGGCAAGAGAGGACAUCAAAGUUCGCCUAUUUUAAUAGAGCCUUGUUGGAGAACGAGCAACCAAAGCUAGAUCUGUAGAGGUUUUAGAGCAACAUAAAAUUAACAAUCACAAUAAUUGAAGAAAAUGGAGACAAAGUGCUACAAUAGUGGGGGCAGCGGUGUUGUUUCCGGCUGGAUCUCGCCGGCCACAACUCCGGCCAGACAACCAUGGCGUUGUGGUUGCAUCAGAAGUGAGGGGCGACGCGUGGUAUGCUUGGUAGCUGGAAGCUCGCCUGUUGGCAGCCAAAUCUGGUGAGGCAACGUGAAAAAUGAAAAAGGGAGAGGGGGAAGGGGAGAGAGAGAGUGUGAAGGGUCGUCGUGUGGUUGCUUUUGCUGAUGGAGGUGUGUGGUUGGGCGUUGGUGGUGGCAGCCAGCCGUCCGGUGUUCAAUUCCGACGGUCGGUGGUGAGAGAGAAAGGGGAGAAGAGAAGAGAGAUGUGAGAUUUAUGUAUUUGUGCGUGUAGUGUGUGUGUGUUGGUGCGUAUAUAUUAUUAUUUCCAAAGAAUUGUGUUGUUCCCCCUUUUUGAAGGGGAGAGGGUAGAAAAUAAAAUCUAUCCUUUGAAAUUUUGUCCCCCUUUUGUGUGUAAUUAUUAUACUGUGUAAAAAUAAAUUAUCUGAUUCAGUGUUUGUGGAUCGUAAAAAUACAAAAAUUAAUUUGUAAUUAUGGAAAAAUAAAAAAAAAAACAUGUUGAGAAUAUUGAAAAAAUGUAAUUAAUUUAAAAAUGUUAUAAAAAUAUGAUGUUCUGUCCUGCAGGUGUGUAUUUUGUGUAUUUAUUGUGUGUUUGUAUAUUGAGUAUUUAAAAAAAAAAAAUAAAUAAAUAAAUAAAUAUCAAAUCUACUUUCUUCCAAACAUAUUUCUUAAAUUAUGGAUAGUAGGUGAAGGAAAAAUUAAGUGUCAUAAUGACGACGAGACCUUGACUUGACUGAUUUGUUUCUCUAUUAUUAAAAUAAUUGACUCGACUCAACUUUUACGGAUUGUAAUAAAUAUACAAAAAUACAGGUAUUGAUAUGUAAUUAUAAAAAAAUGUAAAGAAUAUUGAAAUUAUUGAAAUGUAAUUAAUUUAAAAAUACUGUAAAAAUGUGGCGUCAUGUCGUGCAUGUGUGCAGAUGAUUGUAAAAUGUUAAGAAUGAUAAUGAAUUGAUAAAAAUCCUAAAAUAAGAAAAAUUAUUAAUAAAUUAUAAAAAUAAAAAUAUGACAACAAAUUGAUUAAAAUCCUAAAGUAAGGAUGAUUAGCAACAAUUUUGUCAAACAUUUAUAAAAAAAUGUGAAAAAUUGUAUUUUGUGCCCUUUAGCGAUUAGGGAGCCUGAAGACGUUAAUUUUAGGCACGGAGAGAAAAAAUUGAGUGUCAACAGUGACUUGAGAAGUGAAUUAUUGACUUGAAAAUUUUGUGUAUUGACUUGAGGGAAAAUUGGUGACUAGUGUUUUGAUAUUAGUUACUUGAAAGGUGAACUUGUGUUUUGAAUUUAGUUAAGUGUGGUGACUUUAGAAGUGAAUUAGUGACUUGAAAAUGUUCAAGUGUAUUGACUUGAGGGGGAAUUAGUGACUAGUUACUUGACAGGUGAACUUGUGUUCUGAAUUUAGUUAAGUGUGGUCACUUGAGAAGUGAAUUAGUGACUUGAAAAUGUCUAAGUGUAUUGACAUGAAUUUUGAAUUUGUGACUUGUGGUUUGAAUUUAGUUACUUGAAAGGUGAACUUGUGUUUUGACUUUAGUUAAGUGUGGUCACUUGAGAAGUGAAUUAGUGACUUGAAAAUGUCUAAGUGUAUUGACAUGAAUUUUGAAUUUGUGACUUGUGGUUUGAAUUUAGUUACUUGAAAGGUGAACUUGUGUUUUGACUUUAGUUAAGUGUGGUCACUUGAGAAGUGAAUUAGUGACUUCAAAAUAUUUUAAGUAUUGGUACUUGAAAUGCAAACUUGUGUUUUGAAUUAGUUAAGUGUGGUUACUUGAGAAGUGAAUUAGUGAUUUGAAGAUGUUUAAGUGUAGUUACUUGAAAGGUGAACUUGUGUUUUGAAUUUAGUUAAGUGUGGUCACUUGAAAAUGUGAAUUAGUUAUUUGAAAAUGAUUUAGUGUAGUCGCUUGAAAUGUGUGGUUAAGUGUUGUCACUUGAGAUGUGAAUUAGAUACUUGAAAAUGGUUAAGUGUAGUCGCUUGAAAUAUGAAUUUGUGACUUGAACUAAUUACUUGAAUGUGAUUGAUUGUGUACUAGCAACUUGAAAAUGAUCAAGUGUAAUCACUUGAAAUAUCGAAAUAGUUAUUUGAAAAUGAUCAAGUGUUGUAACUUGAAAUGUGUAUUAGUGACUUGAAAAUGGUUAAGUGAAUUGACUUGAAAUAUGAAUUAGUUACUUGAAAAUGGUUAAGUGUAGUUACUUGAAAUGUGAAUUAGUUAAUUGAAAAUGGUUAAGUGUAGUCACUUGAAAUGUGUACUAGUGACUUGAACAUGAUUAAGUGUAGUCACUUGAAAUGUGGAUUAGUGACUUGAAAAUGGUUAAGUGUAGUCACUUGAAAUGUGUACUAGCGACUUAAAAAUGAUCAAGUGUAGUAAUUUGAAAUGUGAAUUAGUGACUUGAAAAUGAUCAAGUGUAUCACUUGAAAUGUGUAUUAGUGACGUAAAAUAUGAGUUAGUUACUUGAAACUGGUUAAGUGUAGUCACUUGAAAUGUGAAUUAGUAAGUUGAAAAUGGUUAAGUGUAGUACUUGAAAUGUGUACUAGCGACUUGAAAAUGAUCAAGUGUAGUCACUUGAAAUGCAAAUUAGUGACUUGAAAAUGGUUUAGCGUAGUCACUUAAAAUGUAUAUUAUUGACUUGAAAUAUGAAUUAGUUACUUGAAAAUGGUUAAGUGUAGUCACUUGAAAUGUGUACUAGCGACUUGAAGAUGAUUAAAUGUAGCCACUUGAAAUAUCAAAAUAGUUACUCGAAAAUGAUCAAGUGUAGUUACCUGAAAUGUGGAUUAGUGAUUUGAAAUAUGAAUUAGUUACUUAAAAAUGGUUCGGUGUAGUCACUUGAAAUGUGAAUUAGUGAUUUGAAAAUGCUUAAGUGUAGUCACUUGAAAUGUGUACUAACGACUUGAACAUGAUUAAGUAGUCACUGAAAAUAUCGAAGUAGUUACUUGAAAAUGAUUAAGUGUAGUCACUUGAAAUGUGUAUUAGUGAUUUGAAAUAUGAAUUAGUUACUUGAAAAUGGUUUGGUGUAGUCACUUGAAAUGUGAAUUAGUGACUUGAAAACUAGAAAAUGGUUAACUGUCGUCACUUGAAAUGUGUACUAGCGACUUCACGCAACUAAAAUAGACUUCACUUCUACAUUGUUGAAUUGCUUAGGCUUUUGCCUGUGGGCCUUCUUACUCAAAUAUACAUGGAAGGCUUGUCCAAGUUCUAAAAUAAAACCAUAAUCUAAUUCCAAUAGAAGCUAAAAUAAAACCAUAAUCUAAUUCCAAUAGAAGCUGAAAAAGAAUAAUUUUAAAAAGUGAAAGGUAGCAUUUAAUGAGUCAAAACACUUUGCUGAAACAGAAUCCACUUUUGAUGAGUCCUUGAUUCACAAUGCUAGAGCCUGUGAUGCAGAGCCUACUAUCUAAAAUAAUUGCUUCACAAUUCUAUGUUCGUAAGAAUGUUAUUCAUGAGUGAUAUAACUAGUUGGGAUCAUUUUAUGCUUUAAAUUUUGUUCCAAGAAUUAUUGGUUCUUAUGCUGGCCUAUCUCAAGAAUAGGCAACAUUUGCUAUUUUGUUCUCUUUUUCAUUCUUACUUUCAUGCCUCAGUUACAUUUAGUUUAAGCUGAGGGUCAAUCUGAGACAACCUCUCUAUCUUGCAAAGAUAAAUGUAAGAUGUGAUUACACAAGCUAUAUUGAUUAUUGUUGUUGUACUGUAUUAUAUGAGUUUAGGUCUCAUUUGGUAAGUGAAAAUAAGUUGAUUCAGUGAAAUGCAAUCAAGUGUUGAAUGGUUUUAGCCAUGUUACUUCUCUGUACUCUGCUAUUACGAAGAUCACAAGGCUCAAACCUGGCUGAUCUUGAAAGAUGAGGGUUUGGGUUUGCUAGCGCCCCCUGAUAUUUGUCGCAUUUUCUCUACAACCUCAUAAAUACAAGAAAAACACACCACCUUAAUGUUUAACCAAACAUGUUGAUUUAAUUCUAAACAAGCUUACUACUACAGAUAGGUUGUCUAAAUGGAUAUUGUAUGUGGAUUCAAUGUGUAAAUUUUGUCAAGCAUACUUGAAAAAUUCUGUGAUUUUGCUAGAGCCUUGUGAAAGAGGCUCUUAUCUUGGAUCAACAGAUCAUAUUUCAUUGCUAACACAUGUUUGCACUUGGGCAAUAAAGAACUCCAAAAGUAAGUCUCAAAGUGCUAGACUAUACAGAUUAUUUUGUGCUAAAUGCAUGCAUGCCCUGUGAAUGGAGGGAAACCAGAGAACAUUUGUCUUCUCAGUAGCAGUAGUAGUAGUGGUAACAGAAUUAGAACCCUUCGCCAGUGCUUUCAUCCCUUUGCAGGAUUUCAUGUGGGCAUGUUGUUUCUCUGGCUUGAAUGGCUUACCACAUUGCCUGCAACAGAGUGUCUUAACUCCUACCACAUUUAGGACUUAUAUUGCAGUUUGUUCUUAAUUUUGCAGUGAUCCAAAUUCCUAUUGAUUGUCUCAUUUUCAGCAAUGUGGUUAGGAUCUGAAAAUACUCUCUUUGAAUCUAAGAAAUAGUUCAGCCACAUUGCUACAGUGGCUAAUUGAAUUUAGGAGCACAGAUUUCCAGUUUGUUUAUUUAAAUAGAAUGUUUUUCGAAUGGGGCUUAGUAGAAAUCUUGCCCGAAGAACUCGGCUUGGAAUGAUGCUUUAUAUGCUAAUACAUGUUAUUUGUAUUUUUUAGCACUUUUUAUGGCCUGACUUAACAUUUCCUUAUGCAGAAUGAGUUUGAAAGAAAGAAACAAGAAAUGUUAGCUGCUCAAAGUGCAUCAGCUGUGGAUGGAGAAACUAAUUCAGCCGGUCAGCCUGCUCAAGUGAAAUGGAUAUCUAGGUGCAAUCUGUUGAUGGAAAGAAAAAAGGAAGAUUCAAAGGUCUUGGCUCCCUGGGUCGAAGUGUAAAGGCAUCUCUAAGAAUUGAACAUCAACUUUGCAUGAGAUGAUUAAGUCUCAGGUUGAUGCUUCGAAUGUUGAUUUGUUUCACGUUAUCAGGAUUAGAAUUACUUUCAUUCACGUCGUUAGAGUCAUCAUCGCUUUCAUCCUCAUAAGUUUGGUUGUCUUUUUGAGAUGGGCAUUCAUCAUUUGAAGAUGAUUUCUUGUAUACAUGCUUUAUCAACAAGUCUAAUUCCUUUUUCAUCCUCUUAUUUUUGUGUUGCUCAUUCCGCAACUGGGCAUACAAUCAGCAUUUAAAGCAUCAACCUGAGACUUAAUCAUCUCAUCAAUUUCUUUUGGCAAAGUUGAUGUUGAAUUCUUAGAUGCUUCAAAUGCUUAUUUGUAUGUCCAGUUGCAGAAUGAGCGACACAAAAAUAAGAGGAUGAGAAAUGAAUUAGACUUGUUGAUGAAGCAUGUAUACAAGAAAUCAUCUUCAAAUGAUGAACGCUCAUCUCAAGAAGACAAUCAAACUUAUGAGGAUGAAAGUGAUGAUGACUCUGACGACGUGAAUGAAAGUGAUUUUAAUCCUGGUAAUGUGAAUGAAAGUGAUUUUGUCCCUGAUGGUUGGUAGUUUUAUUGAGGAUUCAAGUUUGAAAUAUUAUAUUAUGGACCAUUUAAGAACCUUACAUUAUUGAUGUGGAUGUUAUUAAUUAUGGUUUUUUUGUUAGCUGUAAUGGUUUACAUUCGACUUGUGUUGAAUGAUGUUUUUGAGAAUUAUUGGAGGUUUCGAAUAAAUUUUUGACUAAUUGUGAAAUGAUUCUAGUGAUUUACCUCUGAAUUAUUACUUGGAGAUUUUUAUGGGGAUGCACAUGCUAAACAUUUAUAAAAAUUUGGGAAAAGGCAUCGUUUCCACCUCAAACUAUACCCAAAAAGUCUAAGUCACACCUAAACUAUUGGAGUGACUUAAUACACACCUAAACUACUUAAAAGUGUAGCCACACCUAAACUAUUGAAGUGACUUAAUACACACUUAAACUACUUAAAAGUGUAAUUUUUUACAUCCUAAAUCUGACGUGGAAAAAACAUAAUUAUUUAAUUAAAAAAAAGGCGCGUCUAAAAUUAAAAAUAACACUAAAAAAAAGGUUAAAACUGAAAAUUCCAAUUUCAAUUCAUCUUCUUCUUCUCCAAAAUCAAAAAUCCUAAACUGGAAAAAAUCCUAAUUCAAAACAUCCAUCUCCUUCUUCUUCUCCAAAAUCAAAAAUUCCCAAACUGAAAAAAAAAAAGAUUCAAAUUCAAAACAUCCAAAAAAUUUCCAAACUAAAAAAAAGAUCCAAAUUCAAAACAUCAAUCUUCUUCUUCUUCUUCUCCAAAUUCAAAAAUUUCCAAAUCAAACUGAAAAUUUCAAUUUCAAUUUCAAGUUGCUAAUGAAUUUCGAACGAUUAACGAUGGGUGAAAUUCUUCCCUCUUCUUCUUCCUCCAAUUCAAUUCAACCAUCGACAAGUAGUAGUACAAGCGUCUCACUGACCUUAACCCAACAACUUCACUAACUAAUAAUAGCCCUCACGUAGAAGGCAGACCAAAAGGUUUGGUGACAAUGAAAACAAUUGGAACAGAUGUAAUGGCAAACAGGAGAAAGAAAUGAGAGAAAUAUUGGGAGUAUUAGGCAGAAAAGACCAAGAAGAGUAUCUUACACGGGGGGAGAAGGCCUUAAAAUUGAACAAAUUUUUAGCCAUGUCCGGUCCUUUGCUCAUGGGCCUAGCAGCAAUUGGUUCUGCAUUGUCAGGUCAUUCUCCUCAUGGAUCUUGAGCAGCCAUGAUAGGAAUUGUUGGUGGCGCAUUGGCAAGUGUAGGUAAUACAAUAGAACAUGGUGGGCAAGUUGGAAUGGAGAGAAGAGAAAAUAGUGAAGUGUUUGGGCAUUGAAGAAGAAGAAAAAGGAUUUAAAUUAAAAAGAAGAAAGAAGAAUUUAUGAAAAUAAUAAAUUUAUUAUUUUUUCGGAUGAUGCUGACGUGGCACUGACGCGGUGUUGAAGUGAUGUUGAUGUGGCAGCGCGUGUAAAACACCACACCAUAUGCAAGUGGUGCAAUGCCUGACAGGGUGUAAAAAGUAUCACUUUUUAAUAGUUAAGGUGUGUAAUAGGUCACUAGUAUAGUUUAGGUGUAGCUUAGACUUUUCGGGUAUAGUUUAGGGUGGAAACAA
rnacentral:lncRNA from 1 species